AGUUUUGCGCAUUGGCAGUAUCGUAGCCAAUGAGGUUAAUCCGAGGCACGAUUAUUGCCAGUUGAAAAUAUUCUUCAAGGGGUGGGUUUGAGUGAGAUGCCAGGCUACCUUUCUGAGCUCUGUCAGCAAUCUUUUUUGCUAAACUUGUCCACAAA
rnacentral:snRNA from 14 species